rnacentral:rRNA from 1 species
GACGAACGCUGGCGGCGUGCUUAACACAUGCAAGUCGAACGGAAAGGCCCUGCUUUUGUGGGGUGCUCGAGUGGCGAACGGGUGAGUAACACGUGAGUAACCUGCCCUUGACUUUGGGAUAACUUCAGGAAACUGGGGCUAAUACCGGAUAGGAGCUCCUGCUGCAUGGUGGGGGUUGGAAAGUUUCGGCGGUUGGGGAUGGACUCGCAGCUUAUCAGCUUGUUGGUGGGGUAGUGGCUUACCAAGGCUUUGACGGGUAGCCGGCCUGAGAGGGUGACCGGCCACAUUGGGACUGAGAUACGGCCCAGACUCCUACGGGAGGCAGCAGUGGGGAAUAUUGCACAAUGGGCGGAAGCCUGAUGCAGCAACGCCGCGUGCGGGAUGAAGGCCUUCGGGUUGUAAACCGCUUUCGCCUGUGACGAAGCGUGAGUGACGGUAAUGGGUAAAGAAGCACCGGCUAACUACGUG